UACGUAGGAGGCGAGCGUUGUCCGGAAUUACUGGGCGUAAAGGGCGAGUAGGCGGCCAUCUAAGUCAGACGUGAAAUCCCCCGGCUUAACCUGGGAACUGCGUCUGAUACUGGACGGCUUGAGUUUGGGAGAGGGAUGCAGAAUUCCAGGUGUAGCGGUGAAAUGCGUAGAUAUCUGGAGGAAUACCGGUGGCGAAGGCGGCAUCCUGGACCAACACUGACGCUGAGACGCGAAAGCUAGGGGAGCAAACGGG
rnacentral:rRNA from 1 species